rnacentral:rRNA from 1 species
AUUGAACGCUGGCGGCAUGCCUUACACAUGCAAGUCGAACGGUAACGGGCCUUCGGGUGCCGACGAGUGGCGAACGGGUGAGUAAUACAUCGGAACGUGCCCGAUCGUGGGGGGUAACGAGGCGAAAGCUUUGCUAAUACCGCAUACGAUCUACGGAUGAAAGCAGGGGACCGCAAGGCCUUGCGCGGACGGAGCGGCCGAUGGCAGAUUAGGUAGUUGGUGGGAUAAAAGCUUACCAAGCCGACGAUCUGUAGCUGGUCUGAGAGGAUGAUCAGCCACACUGGGACUGAGACACGGCCCAGACUCCUACGGGAGGCAGCAGUGGGGAAUUUUGGACAAUGGGCGCAAGCCUGAUCCAGCCAUGCCGCGUGCAGGAUGAAGGCCUUCGGGUUGUAAACUGCUUUUGUACGGAACGAAAAGCCUUCUUUUAAUACAGGAGGGUCAUGACGGUACCGUAAGAAUAAGCACCGGCUAACUACGUG